rnacentral:rRNA from 1 species
GACGAACGCUGGCGGCGUGCUUAACACAUGCAAGUCGAGCGGCGCGGCGAACGGGUGAGUAACGCGUGAGUAACUGCCCCCCUCUCUGGGAUAACAGUUGGAAACGGCUGCUAAUACCGGAUAGUGGGGGAUGAAUCGCGUCCUAUCAGCUUGUUGGUGGGGUAGUGGCCCACCAAGGGGACGACGGGUAGCCGGCCUGGGAGGGGAACCGGCCACAUUGGACUGAGAAACGGUCCAAACUCCAACGGGAGGCAGCAGGGGGGAAUAUUGCACAAUGGGGGAAACCCUGAUGCAGAAACGCCGCGUGCGGGAUGACGGCCUUCGGGUUGUAAACCGCUUUCAGCCAAGACGCGGUAGUGGCAGAAGAAGCACCGGCUAACUACGUGCCAGCAGCCGCGGUAAUUC